rnacentral:rRNA from 1 species
GACAGAGGAUGCAAGCGUUAUCCGGAAUGAUUGGGCGUAAAGCGUCUGUAGGUGGCUUUUUAAGUCCGCCGUCAAAUCCCAGGGCUCAACCCUGGACAGGCGGUGGAAACUACCAAGCUGGAGUAUGGUAGGGGCAGAGGGAAUUUCCGGUGGAGCGGUGAAAUGCGUAGAUAUACGGAGGAACACCUGCGGCGAAGGCGGGUAGCUGGGCCAACAUUGACGCUGAGACGCGAAAGCUAGGGGAGCAAACGGG